GUCGGGUUGUUUGUGAAUGCAGCCCAAAGUGGGUGGUAAACUCCAUCCAAGGCUAAAUACGAACACGAGUCCGAUAGCGAACAAGUACCGUGAGGGAAAGUUGAAAAGUACUUUGAAGAGAGAGUAAACAGUGCGUGAAACCGCUCAGAGGUAAACGGGUGGAGUUGAACUGCAAGCUUUGAGGAUUCAGCUGAUAAGUGUGGUAUGAGCUUGGUCAUGUUGGUUGGACACUUGGGUCUGCUUAGCUGCAGGUCUUUGCCUUCGGGUGAGGAUGCGCGAGGCACUUAUCAUGUGUUGCGCGCUCUGGUUGUUCAUCGGGCCAACUUGUCAGUGCACUUUCUCAGAGUGGUCACCACGACCGGCGCUGCUGUCUGACUGUUGCGGCUAAACCGUUUUAGCAUUUCCUUACGGUUUUGUUGAAGCGGGAUGGCAGGUGGCUCGUUGGCUUGCUUAGCUUGCUUUCGGGUGUAAUCAGCUGGCUGUAAUGGUUCUGUGCAGUGUGUCGGAGAUUGCGGCUUGUGGUGUGCGCGUUCGUUCACUUUGCUGGCAGAUUCGUGUUUGGUUGCCGUGUUGCUUGAACUUCAGGCCCGGUGAUAGCUCGUUUCUGUUCGGUGGAGAGGUCGGAUGUGCCACUGUUCAGGGCCAAUAGUCUGUGGUGUAGUGGUAGACUAUCCACCUGACCCGUCUUGAAACACGGACCAAGGAGAGUAACAUGUGCGCGAGUCAUUGGGCGUAACGAAACCCACAGGCGCAAUGAAAGUAAAGGUUUGGCUUGUCCAAGCUGAGGUGAGAUCUUGUCGUUUCUUGUGCAUUUGCUUCCAAGCAUAGAGCGGCAGGCGCAUCACCGGCCCGUCCCAUGUCGUAGUCACAGUCGCAAGGCUGUUGCAUCGUCGGGGCGGUGCAUGAGCGCACAUGUUGAGACCCGAAAGAUGGUGAACUAUGCUUGCGCAGGUUGAAGCCAGAGGAAACUCUGGUGGAGGACCGCAGCGAUUCUGACGUGCAAAUCGAUCGUCAAACGUGAGUAUAGGGGCGAAAGACUAAUCGAACCAUCUAGUAGCUGGUUCCCUCCGAAGUUUCCCUCAGGAUAGCUGGCAUUCUGAGAAAUAAACAGUUUUAUCCGGUAAAGCGAAUGAUUAGAGGCCUUGGGGGCGAAACGUCCUCAACCUAUUCUCAAACUUUAAAUGGGUGAGAUGCUCUACUCGCUUGAGCGGAGUUGAGCGUUGAAUGUGAGUGCCAAGUGGGCCAUUUUUGGUAAGCAGAACUGGCGCUGUGGGAUGAACCAAACGUUCGGUUAAGGUGCCUAACUCGACGCUCAUC
rnacentral:rRNA from 1 species